rnacentral:rRNA from 1 species
AGAGUUUGAUCAUGGCUCAGAUUGAACGCUGGCGGCAUGCUUUACACAUGCAAGUCGAACGGCAGCACAGGGAGCUUGCUCCCGGGUGGCGAGUGGCGCACGGGUGAGUAAUACAUCGGAACGUGUCCUGUUGUGGGGGAUAACUGCUCAAAAGGGUGGCUAAUACCGCAUGAGACCUGAGGGUGAAAGCGGGGAUCGCAAGACCUCGCGCAAUUGGAGCGGCCGAUGCCCGAUUAGCUAGUUGGUGAGGUAAAGGCUCACCAAGGCGACGAUCGGUAGCUGGUCUGAGAGGACGACCAGCCACACUGGGACUGAGACACGGCCCAGAAUCCCGUACGGGAGGCA